rnacentral:rRNA from 1 species
AAGUCGAACGGGCACUUCGGUGCUAGUGGCGGACGGGUGAGUAACGCGUGGGAACAUGCCCUUUGGUACGGAAUAGCCUCGGGAAACUGGGAGUAAUACCGUAUGUGCCCUAACGGGGAAAGAUUUAUCGCCAAAGGAUUGGCCCGCGUUGGAUUAGGUAGUUGGUGGGGUAAUGGCCUACCAAGCCGACGAUCCAUAGCUGGUUUGAGAGGAUGAUCAGCCACACUGGGACUGAGACACGGCCCAGACUCCUACGGGAGGCAGCAGUGGGGAAUCUUAGACAAUGGGGGAAACCCUGAUCUAGCCAUGCCGCGUGAUCGAUGAAGGCCUUAGGGUUGUAAAGAUCUUUCAGUGGGGAAGAUAAUGACGGUACCCACAGAAGAAGCC